AGUGAACGCUGGCGGCGUGCUUAACACAUGCAAGUCGAACGAGAACGGAUUAUAGCUUGCUAUAAUUGUCAGCUAAGUGGCGCACGGGUGAGUAAUGUAUAGGUAAUAUGCCUCUUACUAAGGGAUAACAAUUGGAAACGAUUGCUAAUACCUUAUAUUCCUUUUUAUCAAAAGAUAAAAAGGGAAAGAUUUAUUGGUAAGAGAUUAGCCUGUAUUGUAUCAGUUAGUUGGUGGGGUAAUGGCCUACCAAGACUAUGACGCAUAACUGGUUUGAGAGGAUGAUCAGUCACACUGGAACUGAGACACGGUCCAGACUCCUACGGGAGGCAGCAGUGGGGAAUAUUGCACAAUGGACGAAAGUCUGAUGCAGCAACGCCGCGUGGAGGAUGACACAUUUCGGUGCGUAAACUCCUUUUAUAUAAGAAGAUAAUGACGGUAUUAUAUGAAUAAGCACUGGCUAACUCCGUGCCAGCAGCCGCGGUAA
rnacentral:rRNA from 1 species